UGUGUGAAAAGGGGUGAGGGUACUGUGCACUAUUGGGUAACCCUCCCUUCUUUCACAGU
ensembl:miRNA mdo-mir-7398h mdo-mir-7398h